rnacentral:rRNA from 1 species
UACGGGGGGGGCAAGCGUUGUUCGGAAUUACUGGGCGUAAAGGGCGCGUAGGUGGCCAACUAAGUCAGACGUGAAAUCCCUCGGCUUAACCGGGGAACUGCGUCUGAUACUGGAUGGCUUGAGUUUGGGAGAGGGACGCGGAAUUCCAGGUGUAGCGGUGAAAUGCGUAGAUAUCUGGAGGAACACCGGUGGCGAAGGCGGCGUCCUGGACCAAUACUGACACUGAAACGCGAAAGCCAGGGGAGCAAAUGGG